AGCAGCCGCGGUAAUUCCAGCUCCAAUAGCGUAUAUUAAAGUUGUUGCAGUUAAAAAGCUCGUAGUUGAAUUUCGGGAUCAAUUGAUUGGUCAUGCCUACGGUAUGUACUAGUCAUAUUGGUUCUCACCUUCUAAUGAACCUUAAUGUCAUUCACUUGAUGUUUUGGGGAAUUAGGACUGUUACCUUGAAAAAUUAGAGUGUUUAAAGCAGGCUUACGCUUGAAUACAUUAGCAUGGAAUAAUGAAAUAGGACAUCGCAUUCUAUUUUGUUGGUUUCUAGGAUCGAUGUAAUGAUUAAUAGGGAUAGUUGGGGGCAUUAGUAUUCAAUUGUCAGAGGUGAAAUUCUUGGAUUUAUUGAAGACUAACUACUGCGAAAGCAUUUGCCAAGGAUGUUUUCAUUAAUCAAGAACGAAAGUUAGGGGAUCGAAGACGAUCAGAUACCGUCGUAGUCUUAACCAUAAACUAUGCCGACUAGGGAUCGGAUGAUGUUAAUUUUAAAUGACU
rnacentral:sRNA from 1 species